UCCCUGGUAGCUCAGAGGUUAAAGCGUCUGCCUGCAAUGCGGGAGACCUGGGUUUGAUCCCUGGGUCGGGAA
rnacentral:tRNA from 1 species